UUGCUCUUACCGAAUGCCGAGCUCCUGGGUAUAAUUUCAGUUUCUAUGUUUGUCUUGUGGACAUUUAUACAAUUAGCAUACAUAYGGAUUCAGAAACUACAGUGCAAGGCUGAGCUCAUAGCUGUGAACCUGAGCCAAUACUCAAGUGUAAGUCUCAGAAGGGACCUGGUCUGAGUUUCCUGAUCUCGGAGGUCUUUGCAGGAAAAGAUAACUGGAGAAUAAAUAGACAACCGCUGAGGAGCUGAAACACUGGAAAAUUACCCAGUAUCUUCACUGGUGUCUUCUGCUGAUCCACUUUUCAUGCUGUUUGUGAAAGACAGUGGGAAAAAUAUUUUGUGGGAUAAGCAAGCUGGUAACACAAAAGAUGUCUUCUCUUAUAGCUUGGAGAUGAUGAAAUUAGGAGACUUUUACAUGCAAUAAACACUGAGAUGCAGAGAUAUGAAGAAGUGUUGCAAAGUGUAUGCAUCUAGUUUGAUCCCCUGCAUGUGUCUGGAAAGCAAGACUCCUUUGGUCCCAAAGACUCCUCAGGAUCAUCCCCUGGAAGUGCUACCGUAAUGGGUCACUGAUAAAGGGGCUUCAUGUUUUUCUCUGAGCCUUUUCCUUGGCCCUUUUUGCAGAGGGAUUUGGUUCCUAAAUGGAUCAAGGUUUGUUUCCGCAUUCUAGGCUGUUACCCUGCACACUGACCUCUAUACGAAGGCCAG